AUACUUCUAUGUUGGCGUCCUCGAGCUUGAGUGAUCCAUCGAAAUACAUGACCCAAUGCUCUAGUCGCUCUGCCGGUGCGGGUACUUGAUGUUCCCACCACUCUACCAUGAAAUCAACUAGUGCUUGCAACUUGUGGCAGUCCUUGGUUUGAAAUCUAGGGACAAGGCUCCGAGUUCUACUGCCCACUUGGAGAUUCUUCCUGUUGCAUCUCUGAUGUGGAGUAUG
rnacentral:lncRNA from 1 species